CAUAAUAUUGCAGUAGGAAUGCUUGAGAUUUUUAGUGUGUUUAGAAAGGAGGGGUAGCCUCCCUUUUAUAGCGUAACACGAACGAAGAAACGAUAUAAUCUGCCUAAUUUUAUUCUUUACCUGACCUGCCUAACUUCUCAUUUUCUUUGCCUAACUCUCAUAUUUUCAUAUAUGUGAGGGUCCAAAUUUUGGAAGAUGGAUUGUAGGAAGGAUUCUUGAUGAAUGGGUAAUAUAUACCCAUGACUUAGAUAUGUUCGGGCUUGAUUUAUUAUUGUUUUCAAGUCUUUUAUGAUAGUUUUUAUGCGUUUAUUUGUUAUUUUGCUGUUUGAGGCUAAGCAAGGACAAAUUGGGAAGUUCAACAUCACUAAUGGCAGAACUGUAAUUUACUGGACAUGAAGCCAGCGCCGGGACGCUGGGGCACAAGCAGAGCCAAUCAUGGCGCGUACGUGGAGAGAAGUUGAGCAGGAAUAAGAAUUAAAAAAGUGAAGAAG
rnacentral:lncRNA from 1 species